rnacentral:misc_RNA from 1 species
GAAAUGCGAUAAGUAAUGUGAAUUGCAGAAUUCAGUGAAUCAUCGAAUCUUUGAACGCACAUUGCGCCCGCCAGUAUUCUGGCGGGCAUCCCUGUUCGAGCGUCAUUACAACCCUCAGGCCCCCGGGCCUGGCGUUGGGGAUCGGCGGAAGCCCCCUGCGGGCACAACGCCGUCCCCCAAAUACAGUGGCGGUCCCGCCGCAGCUUCCAUUGCGUAGUAGCUAACACCUCGCAACUGGAGAGCGGCGCGGCCACGCCGUAAAACACCCAACUUCUGAAUGUUGACCUCGAAUCAGGUAGGAAUACCCGCUGAACUUAAGC